AGUGAACGCUGGCGGUAGGCCUAACACAUGCAAGUCGAACGGCAGCACAGUAAGAGCUUGCUCUUACGGGUGGCGAGUGGCGGACGGGUGAGGAAUACAUCGGAAUCUACUUUUUCGUGGGGGAUAACGUAGGGAAACUUACGCUAAUACCGCAUACGACCUACGGGUGAAAGCAGGGGAUCUUCGGACCUUGCGCGAUUGAAUGAGCCGAUGUCGGAUUAGCUAGUUGGCGGGGUAAAGGCCCACCAAGGCGACGAUCCGUAGCUGGUCUGAGAGGAUGAUCAGCCACACUGGAACUGAGACACGGUCCAGACUCCUACGGGAGGCAGCAGUGGGGAAUAUUGGACAAUGGGCGCAAGUCUGAUCCAGCUAUACCGCGUGGGUGAAGAAGGCCUUCGGGUUGUAAAGCCCUUUUGUUGGGAAAGAAAAGCAGCAGGUUAAUACCCCGCUGUUCUGACGGUACCCAAAGAAUAAGCACCGGCUAACUUCGUG
rnacentral:rRNA from 1 species